UAAGCCGCGGUAAUACGNAGGGUGCAAGCGCNGUCCGGAAUNACUGGGCGUAAAGAGUUCGUAGGCGGUNUGUCGCGUCGUUUGUGAAAACCAGCAGCUCAACUGCUGGCUUGCAGGCGAUACGGGCAGACUUGAGUACUGCAGGGGAGACUGGAAUUCCUGGUGUAGCGGUGAAAUGCGCAGAUAUCAGGAGGAACACCGGUGGCGAAGGCGGGUCUCUGGGCAGUAACUGACGCUGAGGAACGAAAGCGUGGGUAGCGAACAGGAUUAGAUACCCUGGUAGUCCACGCCGUAAACGGUGGGCGCUAGGUGUGGGUUCCUUCCACGGAAUCCGUGCCGUAGCUAACGCAUUAAGCGCCCCGCCUGGGGAGU
rnacentral:rRNA from 1 species